rnacentral:lncRNA from 13 species
GUUUUCAUUACACUCUCUGCUUUUAAAUACUUUUUAAAAAGCAAGAAAUCUACAUGGACUUCAAUGAAAAUUACACAAAAGCUGGGAAUAUUCUUGUCAUAUUCUGCCACACUUGAACACAUUUCAAAGGAAGCAUCGUAAUUGGGCCCGUGAUGAGACCAAAUCUUUACUUGACUUACAAAACUUUCUGAGUAUUUUUUCUUAGAAUGGCUGAAUUCAUCAAGAAAAAAUGUUUUUAUGAAGUACUGAAGACACCAGGAUGAGUUUCAAGAUGAAGAAUUGCAGGCAGCUUAUGGAAGAAAAAUGCUUAAUACCAAUAUUUAAAGAUUACAGGAUCAAUAGCACAUUUCUGCUUGAAUGAGAGACAGUGAUAUCAAG